rnacentral:rRNA from 1 species
UACGUAGGAGACGAGCGUUGUCCGGAAUUACUGGGCGUAAAGCGCGUGUAGGCGGAUGAGCAAGUCUGCUGUGAAAGCUCCUGGCUUAGCCGGGAGUGGUCGGUGGAAACUGCUCGUCUGGAGGACGGUAGAGGUAGGUAGAAUUCCCGGUGUAGUGGUGAAAUGCGUAGAGAUCGGGAGGAAUACCUGUGGCGAAGGCGGCCUACUGGGCCGGACCUGGACGCUGAGACGCGAAGGCGUGGGGAGCGAACGGG